rnacentral:rRNA from 1 species
AACGAACGCUGGCGGCAGGCUUAACACAUGCAAGUCGAGCGCAGGAAAUCGACGGAACCCUUCGGGGGGAAGUCGACGGAAUGAGCGGCGGACGGGUGAGUAACACGUAAAGAACCUGCCCUCAGGUCUGGGAUAACCACGAGAAAUCGGGGCUAAUACCGGAUGGGUCAUCGGACCGCAUGGUCCGAGGAUGAAAGGCGCUCCGGCGCCGCCUGGGGAUGGCUUUGCGGUGCAUUAGCUAGUUGGUGGGGUAAUGGCCCACCAAGGCGACGAUGCAUAGCCGACCUGAGAGGGUGAUCGGCCACACUGGGACUGAGACACGGCCCAGACUCCUACGGGAGGCAGCAGUAGGGAAUCUUCCACAAUGGACGAAAGUCUGAUGGAGCAACGCCGCGUGAACGAUGAAGGCCUUCGGGUCGUAAAGUUCUGUUGUAAGGGAAGAACAAGUGCCGCAGGCAAUGGCGGCACCUUGACGGUACCUUGCGAGAAAGCCACGGCUAACUACGUGCCAGCCGCCGCAGUAACAC